UUGGAUGGAGUUUUGGUGCCAAAAGUAACCAAUUCAUGUAUUUAUAUUCUAUUACCCAGAAAAAUAGAGUAAUAGAUAAAGAUGUUACUCAUAGGAUCAAAAAAUGAGAUGGAAGAGUGUGACAAGUGUGCUAUGCGAUCAUAGGAUUUCUGACAAAGUGAAAGGUAAACUUUGUAGAAUUGUGGUUAGGCUAGCUGUGUUGUAUGGGAGUUAAUGUUAGGCAUCUAAGGUACAAAAUAUUUAUAAGAUGAGUUUGACAAAAAUACAUAUCAAAAUGGAUGGCUGAUAACACAAUAUUAGGUAAAGAUUAGGAAUGACUACGUUUAGUAGAGAGUGCAUGUGGCACACAUUGGGAAUAAAGUAAGGGAGAGUCAAUUAAGAUGGUUUGAUCAUAUCCAAUGUAGAGCACCACGUAUCAAAUUCCUUAGUUGACCUUAACUAGUUUGAAAUUAAGUCUUAGGCUUCAUUUAUUUUGUGAAAAAUAUUUUUUUGAAAAACAUUUUUCACAUUUUUCUAUCUUUGGGGCACUUGAGAAAAUGGGUCAACAGCAAAUAUUUUCGUAGUUAGAGUAAAAACUAAAUUAAUUUCAAAGAAAAUGACUUUCUCUUUUUAAAAAAGGAAGGUAUUUUCUAAAUUUUGAUAAUCUUGUUAAAAUAUUAAAAUACUCAUAUAUGCAUAAUAUAAACACAUACCAUCAGUUUAACACUGCAACCAAACAAUGGAAAAUGUUUUCAUCUUGAAAAAUAAUUUAUAUAAAAAAACAUUUUCCAUUUAUAAGUUAUUUUCUGUGAAAUAAAUAGAGGCUUAAUUGGUGUUAUUUUAGUUCGUAGCAUUUCAUGCAAACUAGCUAGUUGGAUUAGAGUCUUUUGCUUUAAAACUUUGUUUGCAUAUAUUAUAUUGAGUUCAAAGUUCAAACUGAUUGCUCAGGUGUUAUUUGUUACAUGCUUCAACGAUCAGAUGCUAAUCCAAACUACUUCUAUUUUUUUAUAGAGGAACCCAAAAUAUCCUGAU
rnacentral:misc_RNA from 1 species